rnacentral:rRNA from 1 species
CGGGCGGACGGGUGAGUAACGCGUGGGCAACCUGCCUCAUACAGGGGGAUAACAGUUAGAAAUGACUGCUAAUACCGCAUAAGACCACGGUACUGCAUGGUACAGUGGUAAAAACUCCGGUGGUAUGAGAUGGGCCCGCGUCUGAUUAGCUAGUUGGUGAGGUAACGGCUCACCAAGGCAACGAUCAGUAGCCGACCUGAGAGGGUGACCGGCCACAUUGGGACUGAGACACGGCCCAAACUCCUACGGGAGGCAGCAG